UACGAAGGGGGCGAGCGUUGUUCGGAAUUACUGGGCGUAAAGGGCGCGCAGGCGGCUCUGAAAGUCAGAUGUGAAAGCCCCGGGCUUAACCUGGGAAUUGCAUUUGAUACUCUGGAGCUUGAGUGUGGGAGAGGAGAGUGGAAUUCCCAGUGUAGAGGUGAAAUUCGUAGAUAUUGGGAAGAACACCGGUGGCGAAGGCGGCUCUCUGGGCCGUAACUGACGCUGAGGAGCGAAAGCGUGGGGAGCGAACAGG
rnacentral:rRNA from 1 species